AGCAAACUUUUUCUGUAAAGGGUCAAAUAGUAAAUAUUUUAGGGCUUCACAGGUACAUAAAGUUUCUGUUGUUGCUGCUGUUGCUUGUACAGCCUUUAAAAACAUGAAAAACUUUCUUAGCUUCCAGAAUUAGGCUGGAUUUGACCUGUGGCCUGUGGUUUGCUGAGUGUUCCACAAGGUGGAAAGAUCUUGGAUUUCAGGAUGUCUAUGAACAAAUCUCCAAGUGGGAGGAAGAAUCAAGAGGAGAAUAUGGAAGAGUAAACAAAGAAAGAUGUGUGCUUCACAAAUAAAUUGAAUCUGCAAAACGCAUGGAAACUUCAGGAGCAUACCUUUGAGGCACUGAAUGGAAUCUGAUAGUUGAAGUGAAGCCAACUUCAGUUUUUAAGGAGAAAUUUUCAUAUUCCAUGUGGGCAGAUGCAAAGUCUGGAUGAAUAAGUGACAAAACAAUGAAGAAAAUAUUCUGUGUUAUUCAUUCCCAAAGUCUGAGAGACCAAAAUGGUACUAAGAAAUACAAAUUCCAAAUUUGCUCAUUUUGUGUGUGUGUGUGUGUUUGUUUUUUUGUUUUAAUCCUCACCCGAUGAUAUUUCCAUUGAUUUUUAGAGACAGUGGAAGAGAGAGGAAAAGAC